AUACUACUUCCUCCGAUCCAUAUUACUUCUCUUGGCUUUGUCUAGAUAUGCAUGUACCUACACAAUGAAACGCGUCUAGAUACAUGUGUAUCUAGACAAAGCUGCGACAAGUAAUAUGGAUCGGAGGUAGUAGUAG
rfam:Brachypodium distachyon strain Bd21 chromosome 1, whole genome shotgun sequence.